rnacentral:rRNA from 1 species
CCUGGCUCAGGAUGAACGCUGGCGGCGUGCCUAAUACAUGCAAGUCGAGCGAAUGGAUUAAGAGCUUGCUCUUAUGAAGUUAGCGGCGGACGGGUGAGUAACACGUGGGUAACCUGCCCAUAAGACUGGGAUAACUCCGGGAAACCGGGGCUAAUACCGGAUAACAUUUUGAACCGCAUGGUUCGAAAUUGAAAGGCGGCUUCGGCUGUCACUUAUGGAUGGACCCGCGUCGCAUUAGCUAGUUGGUGAGGUAACGGCUCACCAAGGCAACGAUGCGUAGCCGACCUGAGAGGGUGAUCGGCCACACUGGGACUGAGACACGGCCCAGACUCCUACGGGAGGCAGCAGUAGGGAAUCUUCCGCAAUGGACGAAAGUCUGACGGAGCAACGCCGCGUGAGUGAUGAAGGCUUUCGGGUCGUAAAACUCUGUUGUUAGGGAAGAACAAGUGCUAGUUGAAUAAGCUGGCACCUUGACGGUACCAACCAGAAAGCC